rnacentral:rRNA from 1 species
UACGUAGGGGGCUAGCGUUGUCCGGAUUUAUUGGGCGUAAAGAGCGUGUAGGCGGCCUGGAAGGUCAGCUGUGAAAACUCGAGGCUCAACCUCGAGACGUCGGUUGAAACCACCUGGCUAGAGUCCGGAAGAGGAGAGUGGAAUUCCCGGUGUAGCGGUGAAAUGCGCAGAUAUCGGGAGGAACACCGGUGGCGAAGGCGGGUCUCUGGGCCGAUACUGACGCUGAGGAGCGAAAGCGUGGGGAGCGAACAGG